rnacentral:lncRNA from 1 species
AAUUUACAAAGAAGAUAAAAAAUGUAUUUUAUGACAAAUGAAAACAGACAGUUCAUCACCUCAGUAAAGGAAAUUUCUAGAGAAUACGCUUCAGAAAGAAGGAAAGUGAUCUGACGUAGUAUAUCUGAGACCUGAGAAGGUAUAGGCAACAAGGAGAGUGGCAAAAAUGUAGACCAGUCUAAAUGAAUCAUAGUUGCAAAACAAACACAAGAAUUGUAAUGUCCUGUGGGGUUAGAAUUAAAAUACUGCCAACCAUAAUAUAUAAACCAGGGGUGGUGAAAAAUGGAGAAUUUAAAGUAUUUGAAAAUCCUUGUAUUAUCUGGGAAGAGGAAAAGGUUUUGAUUAACUUUAGAUGUUGACAUAUUAAUCAUGCAUGCUGUAAUGUCUGGAAAAAGUACUAAAAGAAUAGAAACAGAAUUAGUCAUAAAAGAAGGAAGAAAUGAGAGAAAAAGAAACAACAGAAUAGGUGGGAAAAACAGAAAAGCACAAAAGAUUUAGGAGAAUAAAUAUGAAUUAGAAUGAGACUUCUCCAGCCCUAAGACCCCAAGAGGACAUAAAGCUCUCUUGGUUUGGCAGGAAGAGAAGGAACAGUUCGGAAGCAAGAGUGAGCAGAUGUGGGUCCCUGAGGAAGGAGAGCCCUGCCCUCUCCCACUGGCUGGUUUGUAGGAUCUGAGAGCAGAGGCGGUCUGUGCCUCACUUGCUGGAUAGAAUCCAGAGUAGAAAGGGUUAUAUGGUAUAUGUGGGGAGAUAGGUCCUUAGAUCACCUUACAGAGUUUCCCCAGGUCCAGCAAGGUAAGGGAGCAGCAGAAUGAUCCUGGCACCCAAGAGCAAUGCAGGAGGAGACCAAGUCUUUGAAAAUCAUAUGAUGUUUCCUUUGACCCAGUAUAGCACCCAUGCAGCAAGAAUGUUUAUUGUGUGCCACAAAGUGGGACAGAAGAGAGAGAGAGAGCCGACGGGAAUGAAGAACAGCACAAGAGCAACCAGUAUGGAGCAUCAACUGAGGAUCACAGGGUUUGAUGGUUGCCUGGGUGGAAGUCAGUAUGGACGGAUGAUGACUGAGGACCAAAUACCCGCUCUCACACCCCAAACUCAGCCUUAUCUGUGAUCUCCUCGGGUGCCAGCUCCAAGUACAAAGACAGCAGCAGCAGUUCUGGACCCCUUGUUGAUGCCCAACAACAUCCAGGAGAAAAGGGACCAUCUUUCCCUGUACUUUCUUCUAAGAAAAAGAAACAUCUUCCAGAGCAUUUGGCAAAUUUCUCCCACACUGAGCCACAUGCUCGUUCCAAACCAAUCCCCAUCACUGGAAGAAUACAGGUUUGACUCAGACUAAUCAGGGCUCAUCUUUGACUGAGGUCAACUCUCCCAAUUGCCUGGCUACCACAAAAUGAGGGAUAGAAUGGACAUUGCAGAACAACCACAAUUACAGUCCUCCCCUUUACUGCCCAAUAUUCACACACACCCUCUGUGCUAUGUUACAAUCUCCGAAAAGCCAGUGCCUAAUAAGAUGCACACAUGCCCUCUUAAGGAAGUACCACCCAAACUUCACCCAAUCAUGUAUCCAGUGGCAAACCCAGGAUCUCUGGGAGGCGUACAAUCCAUCAAGUCAAUUACAUGCACCUGGAUUGAAAAGAAAUCAGGCAGGAAAUGAGGUGGUUGUUUCUUGUUCAUGCAUGAGCCUGGAACACUGAGUCUCAGUGCUCUCGUGUAUUAAAUGAGAAUAGUAAUGUCUGCUACGCAGGUUGUGAUGCUGAUUGAAAAUAAAAUAAAAAAUGACAAAAAUAAACCA